rnacentral:rRNA from 1 species
GUCCACGCUGUAAACGAUGGGUGCUAGGCGUCGGGGGGAGCGACCCCUUCGGUGCCGUCGCUAACGCAAUAAGCACCCCGCCUGGGGAGUACGGUCGCAAGACUGAAACUCAAAGGAAUUGACGGGGGCCCGCACAAGCGGUGGAGCAUGUGGUUUAAUUCGAAGCAACGCGAAGAACCUUACCUGGGCUUGACAUGCACGGGAAACCCGGUGGAAACAUCGGGCCCUCUUCGGAGUCCGUGCACAGGUGCUGCAUGGCUGUCGU